rnacentral:rRNA from 1 species
AACGAACGCUGGCGGCAGGCUUAACACAUGCAAGUCGAGCGCCCCGCAAGGGGAGCGGCAGACGGGUGAGUAACGCGUGGGAACGUACCCUUUACUACGGAAUAGCUCCGGGAAACUGGAAUGAAUACCGUAUGUGCCCUUCGGGGGAAAGAUUUAUCGGUAAAGGAACGGCCUGCGUUGGAUUAGCUAGUUGGUGGGGUAAAGGCCUACCAAGGCGACGAUCCAUAGCUGGUCUGAGCGGAUGAUCAGCCACAUUGGGACUGAGACACGGCCCAACCUCCUACGGGAGGCAGCAGUGGGGAAUAUUGGACAAUGGGCGCAAGCCUGAUCCAGCCAUGCCGCGUGAGUGAUGAAGGCCUUAGGGUUGUAAAGCUCUUUCACCGAUGAAGAUAAUGACGGUAGUCGGAGAAGAAGCCCCGACUAACUUCGUGCCAGCCGCCGCCGUAAUAC